rnacentral:rRNA from 1 species
GAUGAACGCUGGCGGCGUGCCUAAUACAUGCAAGUCGAGCGAACAGAUGAGGAGCUUGCUCCUCUGGCGUUAGCGGCGGACGGGUGAGUAACACGUGGAUAACCUACCUAUAAGACUGGGAUAACUUCGGGAAACCGGAGCUAAUACCGGAUAAUAUAUUGAACCGCAUGGUUCAAUAGUGAACGACGGUUUUGCUGUCACUUAUAGAUGGAUCCGCGCCGCAUUAGCUAGUUGGUACGGUAACGGCUUACCAAGGCAACGAUGCGUAGCCGACCUGAGAGGGUGAUCGGCCACACUGGAAGUGAGACACGGUCCAGACUCCUACGGGAGGCAGCAGUAGGGAAUCUUCCGCAAAGGGCGAAAGCCUGACGGAGCAACGCCGCGUGAGUGAUGAAGGUCUUCGGAUCGUAAAACUCUGUUAUUAGGGAAGAACAAAUGUGUAAGUAACUAUGAACGUCUUGACGGUACCUAAUCAGAAAGCCACGGCUAAAUACGUG